CUCCAGACUCCUACGGGAGGCAGCAGUGGGGAAUAUUGCACAAUGGGGGAAACCCUGAUGCAGCGACGCCGCGUGAGCGAUGGAGUAUUUCGGUAUGUAAAGCUCUAUCAGCAGGGAAGAAAAUGACGGUACCUGACUAAGAAGCCCCGGCUAACUACGUGCCAGCAGCCGCGGUAAUACGUAGGGGGCAAGCGUUAUCCGGAUUUACUGGGUGUAAAGGGAGCGUAGACGGUCCUGCAAGCCAGAUGUGAAAGCCCGGGGCCCAACCCCGGGACUGCUCUUGGAACUGCGCGGCUGGAGUGCAGGAGGGGCAGGCGGAAUUCCUGGUGUAGCGGUGAAAUGCGUAGAUAUCAGGAGGAACACCGGUGGCGAAGGCGGCCUGCUGGACUGCGACUGACGUUGAGGCCCGAAAGCGUGGGGAGCAAACAGGAUUAGAUACCCCCGUAAA
rnacentral:rRNA from 1 species